ensembl:lncRNA
AUUUACAAUGAAUAAACUCCAGUCAUCCUCUUUGCGUGGGAUCUCAGGCUAUUUGUUUACUUUUUUUAUAUAAUUUGCUAUAAAUGCAGCAGCUUAAUUCACUGAGAGACUGCAGACAUCUUAAACUGAAAUCUCCAGUCGGUGGAGAAGCAGGACUGUUGUCUUCCUAUACUUGCUAAGCAAGAGGACCACUUCUGAUACUGAGGAAGCCACUUGGCCACUGCUCUCAGUCACUUUUAGUUCCUGUAGGCUUGGCUGACAAAAAUUUCUUCAGAUCUACUGGAAUUAAGAGAUCUAAGGAAGCAAGUGGUAUGUAUGUUUGCAUACCAUCCCAUCACAGUCUCAGCUGAAUAGGACAAAUCUCAAAUAAGGCCAAAGAAUACAGAUGACACCAAUCAGAGUGAAAAAAGAUGAGAAAGAAUUUAGAUUCUGAGUCUGAAACAAUUGCUCAGUGACUCAAGACUCAAAUGUAAUGAGGAAGGAAGGAAGAAUUGCAAGAAAGAAAGAUUUACACAGCCAUGGAUAAAGAUAAAGUUGAGCAGAACUAUCUGGUCUCAGUUCACAGGAAUUUCUUCAAACCUGUAAUUUGACUUUUACUUUGUGAGAAGACAUAUGUGCUGACUCUGACAUUUGAUGAAAGUCAGAGCAAAAGUAGUAAACUUCAAGGUGCUUUAUGUCAAAACUAUGAGUCUGAAUCACGACCUUACCAUCAUCAGUCUUUACAGGAGAAAGGAAGCAAAAUGAAACUUUGAUGUUGAUCUCUCAAGUGAUAACCCUGUACUCCUGUGUCUUCAGAUGUUGUCAUUUACACCAGUACCUUGCUGGCUUAGCCCAUAACUGAUUCUCUUUCAUAAUCCUUUUUCAGAGUUAUGGAUGACUAAACAAGACCAAGACAAUCAUGUACUGUAUCUUAUUUCAGAAUUAAACAACUGGAAGGAGUAUGGAGAAGAGCUUCUCUAACUAUACAAGGUCUACAAAGACUGCUUUACUGAAAGAUGUUAAAAAUGCAAUAUUAGCUCUUUAAAGGGAAGAUCAAAGAAUAUUUGAUUACAGCAUAUAAACUCCUUCUUGAAGAGACACUUGUGAUAUUGAAAUAAGAGCAACAAGAACUACAAGACCAGUGGCAAGAAAUUAAAUCCACACAUAUCUACAUUAGAUACAUAAACAGUUCUCUAGUCAUGGAAAUUAAAACAGCAAGGAUAAAAGUGGACCAGAGCUUUUACUCCAAGCUUGUAUACCUCAUGUAAUACAGCUUUCGAGCAGAAGCUGUCUGCAGUGUAAAGGUAGAUGAAUUAAUUUCUGUAACUGGUGGUAUGCAAGAGAUCAAACUAGCAGGUUUUUGUGAUAUUUUUGGGUCUUAACGUUUUUUUUUUUUUCUUGUCAGUGCUGACUUCGUCCUACCUCUAUGUUUUGGUAUAAGGUUUUGGAGUCCACCUAAAAUUUGGAAAUCUCUAGAAAUACCCAGACCAACUGUCAACAUUAAAAGACAGGUUAAAAGAUUACUUGAAAUGUUCUAGGGCUACUUUUUUUGUAAGUGGGUUCCACAGUUUCAGUUCAGUUAAAUUUUCUUUUACUUUACUGAUAGAUUGAUCAAACAUGCAAUUUUGUUGCUAUUGUUUUUUGUUUUAGUAAUUACAGCCUUCAGUUAUCAAUAUGAGGUAUGCAAGCAGAUGAAUGGGAAAUUAAGACUCUUCCUCUUCUAGUUUUUGGACCUAAAAGAGUUGAGAUUUGAAAGCCAGGGAUACAACUAGUUGGCAACUUUCUUUCAUAAAAAUAAUCUCUCCUUAAAGGAACAAUUUCUAUAGGAUCAAAUUAUUUCUGCAGAUGGUUAUAUAUAUAUAUAUAUAUAUAUUGGCUUACAUCAAAAAAUUCAAUACCAAGUUAUUUAGUUUGGCAUUUGUUUGACCUGAAAAAAAAAAAUCUUAAUUUGUUCAUAUGGCCAGAACCAGUUAGUAAUGAGCAAGUUCCAUAUUAUUCUUUGUUUUGCUGCAGUGGUGUCCCUAGGGAUUUUCUGUUUACUACCUCACUUCCAUUCUGUUCUGUGGGCCAGAUUGAUUAUCUAUAUCUAAUACAGCUAGAACUCCUCUGGAAGCAAGAAAUGUGGUGCAGCGUGGAAGUUCUGUGAUGUCUUAUGGAAAAGUCAACUCUGCCGAGGGCAUAGCUACAUGAGAAAAUGCAUAUAUUCCUAAAUCAGGUGGAAAAAGAAAUAGCAUGCCAAGGAACUUUCAAGAAUAUCUGUGUUCAGGUCUUUAUGAUUAGCUGAAGUAUUGCAGAGAGGAAAAAAUAGUGAUAAUCUUCUUCCCUCCACUACUACCACCUUUUCUUUUAUCUUUUCUAAAUUUUGUUUUCUUAUUUUAUCAGUCAUAUUGAACGUUGGUAAGAAUCUGUUUUAUCCAACCUUAGGCACUCAUUUUCAGGAAAUUAACUUGGCAUCAUAACAGCACUUAACAUCUGUGACUCUCAACUUAGAAAUAGUUGACUAAAUGGGCUAAGCAGUGUUUAAAUAUAUUGCCAAAUAAAUUAUUGAUUUUUU